CUCUGAGAGAAGACUUUCCCUAGGCCCUCUGUUUAUGUGGGACUCUGAUCAUAGGAAACAUUUGUUCCUGAAAUAACUUCAAUCAUCAAUAAUGAGAUAUACAGAUGUCCUCCAAGGGAGAGUAAAAGAUCCUGCUCAUCGGAGUCACUCGUAGGACCAAGGUGAGGAGCACCCACCCACUCAAAGCUUCCUCAACCAAAAGAGCCAGAAUCGCGUGAUCCCGGGAAUCAGGUAAACACCACUGGGCAGGAGCCGUAUUCCUUCUUGGAGCAACCUCUGACGCAUGUGUGCUACACCCUGUGCCCUCCCACCACCCCACAGUGGGGCACCUCUCCGUCUGUGAACAGUCACCGUUCUUGGGGAUCCCCCAAAAAAAACAUGUUCCAGGAAACAGAUCACCAUAGAGGCUCAGAUGUUGUGUUUUUUCAUCAACGUUCAAGCAAGCC